UACCUGCUACGUAGAUACAUAUAUUAUUUGUUGAUCAAAUAUUAUCAAGUGACGUGCGUCACUGUGGAUUCUCUCAGAAUAAAUAUGGACAGUGCAUCGAUGACGUAUACGGUGAAAAGUUGUCCAAACAUUUCGAGUAUAACUUGAAAUAUUUACAACCGGAGGGGGAGAAAAAAAAAUACAGAAAAAAUGAAAAAUUUAACAUCACAACGACACGUAUGUAGAAUGCAAAUUUCGAUGCAAAUGUUGAAUAUCAUAUCACCUCACCUCAGAUGCGUCUUUUUCACCUGCAGCAACACAAACUGUGUACUACAAUGAGAAAGAAACGAAGAACGAAUCGUCAAAGAUCUCUCGAAUUUCCGGUUCCUUGAAAGAAGCGCGACACAAAUGCUUAGGAGUUGUGUAUACUCGUUCGGAAGUAUUUUUUUCUCACCAGAGAAAAAAAAAGGAAAUGAAGGGAAAUUACACCGUGAAAUUGCAUACCAGAUAUCGUUGACGAGUGAAAGUGCGACAUUGGUGAGUAUAUAAUGUAAUAUCGAGAAACUAUACCGAGAUAUCUUCGUUAAUUUGUAUCGCGUUUAACUAGCGGCGAUAACUAAUUAGUCAACAAUCAGUAAUUAGACCGUUCUUCUUGCUUCGUUGCGGUCGGGCCGCGCGCACGCGUUCAGCUUAUGUAUGUACAACGGGUCAAUGAGUAUCGAAUAGAUAUAUUAUUAAACCAUAUUGACAUAAUUGAUUGUUUAUAACGAAGACUAGAGAUACGACGAACCGUUGACGGCCUUGUAAUUGCGUUACUUUACAUCUACAUUAAAUAUAUAUAAAUAACUGUACAAAUAUCGCAAUAAUAACUCAUUACCAUAACGCAGCGGAAUUCAAUGCGGUAAGACGUUACGAUAUUGUAUAAUUUUAUGCACUCCGCGAUCCGCUCUUCCCAUACCGGAUUUUGACAGGGAAAACCGCAGACGGACUUGCAACUUCCGGCAAAGGCUGAGCUUCGUGUACGUACGUAGCGUAUACCGUGUUUAUAUUUUUAUUUACGCACGUAUAUGUAACCGGCGCACAUACGUUGGACCAUGGAGGAAAAACUAUUUUAUUGGUCAAUUUAAUUAACCGCAAGAGGAAAUUACGUUAUAACGGGAGACAUCGAGAACGUUGUGAAAAAACCAACGGACGGUGCGAAAGAAUUCUGGUUCUUCUUUUCCUCGACGCAGAAUUUGGAACAUUUGUAGGUGCGAGUAUAAGAGAAUGUUUAACAGGGGUGACAAGUAGGGCGCGUCGCGAUAUGGGAAUCAAUUUUAUAAUCACCGAAGAGGCUAUUUUAGCUGGCGACUCGUGGCUUUUGUUAGCCACGGGGGUGAAAAUCCGUUGAGCGAUCCUCGACCUCCUCGGUUGUUGUUGUUUUUGACACAAUGGAAUCGCUUGGCACGGUUGCCUAUUUCUUUCUAGGAAGCAAACCUGGCGCACGGUUGAAAACAAGCAAAAUCCGUAGAAUUCAGACGAAGCGCGGUUGAGCCUUGCCGCCCCGUCGGGUACGCUAUGCGGAGUUUCUCAAUCCCGAAGGACCUCUUCUCCUCAUUCUUCUUUGCGCUUUUGCGGCGUUGUAAAUUAUCGGGUCCAGCUAAACCGACCGAACGGCCAAACCGACCGUAGUUGCUUGUUGUUUUAGGGCUAUUUGGUAUAAGGUUAGGUAAAAGGGAGAACCGUUCGCUGCAGCGGAUCCGUUCGUUUUGCCGACAGGGUCGAGGAGGCCUGAAAAGGAUCGCGUGGAAAAUAGACUCGGUUUGUUGAGAAACUAGUCGUCGUAUUAGUCCGAUGUCUGAGAAUACCUAAUACUUCUCGGAACGAGAUGCAGAGAACUAACGAAAUUAAUGCCUCUCCUAAACGCCCGCUAAACAACACCCGCUCGGAUUCCGUCAGGAUCCUAAUCUCCCGGAUCCCCGAGCCAGGACCCUUUUCACCCAUUAUUCGAUCUCACGAUAUUCGACAAAGAACGAAAUAGAAAACAAGCUUCCCUGUAUCGUAACGCGAACUCAAAUUAACCCUUUUGCGAGGUCGAAGUUCGACGUAAUCGUAAUUUUACAACCCGCGCGUACGGCGUCAAUCCGUAGCAUCCGAAGCACACGUAUGUACAUACGUACGACGACGGAGUAGAAUUUAGCAACGAUCUCUCCGCAUGGAUCCGCGAGCAAACAUCAUCGAGACCGAAUCGGCAGAAGGAAGGGGAAUAAAGUAUAAAUAUUAUAAGUGGAGAUCGUUGGGGGUUCGCGGAAAAAAAAGGGAUCAACAGAAUCCCCGUUCGUUCGUUGUACGAUUGUUUGUCAGACUAGACAUGAAAUGCACGAGGCGCAAAACACACGGCCGAAAACAGAGGCAAACAAGAAGAAAUGGAGUAGGUAAUACGUGUAUCUACGCCUCGGUUCUCGUACAUCGCAUAUAUGCGUAUACGCCUUUUGCCACUUGGAUAUUAAAUAUAUACAAACGACGCCGUGUAUCUUCAAAACACGAUGAGCAAUCGUGUUCCGACUGCACUUUGCAACGUUGAUCGUCGACGCACUUUCGCCGAUUGUGAGCGAGAUUCAAUUGACGAGAUUGUUAGGAACGUAGGAAUAACUGCGUAUCGCGAGACGGAGAUUGAAAAAACCCAGCGGCUGCUUAUCAGGAUUUCUAAUUUUGGAAUAUUAUUCUCAAAGCAAUCCGAACGUCCCUACGACGUCUGGGUCCGGAAUAUACGAGGUUCGUCGGAUCUGGCGACAGAAAUAUGAUCGCUGACGAUAUUUAUCGCACUACGUGUAUCCGUAUUGCGUAGGUCUUGAGUUAUCGAAUGUAUUGGGAGAUUUUAUAAUUUCCGUGUUGACUCUUUCGAUCAAUCUAAUUGAGUAAUUUCGCUCGACUCGAGCUGUUUGGCGAGUUAUGACGGAAUAUUUUCUGUUCAAAACUUUCCUAUUUUCCCCCUUCGAACGCCCACUUCCCGCGAGAAAUUUAUUUUUCCCUUCCCGUCACCGAAACUUGCUCCAUUUGCGUUAUUCGUUGAAAACGAAGGACUUCGUUUUUCCUCGCGCGAUGCAGAUCACACUGCCCCUUUUUAAUCACUUUUGGCAAUUAGCUAAUUCGGCCGAUCAACGGAUUAAUAAAAUCAGAGGAUUCGAAAUUAUGGUCGUUUCAUCUUCGACGUGUCAGAAAUCCCAUUCGUACGUAGGAGGUGAUGGUGGGUGUUCGACGUACGCGCGUGAUGGAAAACUGGCAGCAUAUAUAUAUUUUUACGCCCAGGAGCUUAUUACACGAGGGCACGCACGACCCCCGUGCAACUCCUAUACGUGCGUACGUACGUAAUAACACGCGCUGUGGGCUCCCUGUAACGAACAAGUAAACACGAUGAAUUCCAUCUGUUUGUUCCACCGACCGUUUUCCGCCUCCCGCGAUAUUACAUGUAUUUUUUCCCGAAUUGUUUCUCUCCUUUAUUCCGCGAACGACACAGCGCGAAUGUGAUAAUUUUGCGUUACAAAAUAUACGUAUGGAAAAAAAAGAAAGAAGCGACGAAAGAGAAACAAGAAAUCCGAGAGUCGCUGUGUGCGAGAUUGAGAUUGUGAAUGCUGUUUGCCUGGGUUCGUUGCAGUCGGUGUGUAUAUAUAUAUAUCUUUUUAAUAACGGGUCGGUAGGUUAAAACUGAUUUGCUCCAAUUUCGCAAAAUGUACUCGUAAUUAUUCAAAAUUAUCCAGUAUAUUUAUAUUUCCACACGCGGAGUCGGCCACGAAUAUCGGCAGAUAACGACGCCGAGGUCUGACGAGAUAAACGAAUUUCGCGCGGCGUUGUUGUACGUGCAUGUUCGAGAUCCUGGCGAAUGUCGAUUGAUCGUUAAAACCCCGAUGCGACUGCGGAGGAUAAUAAUUUGAGAAGCGAAAAAUCGCGGUUAUUUUUCGCGCGUGGGAUGGAAAUAUUCUUUUCCGCACGGCGUUUGACGGAAAAAUUCUCAGUCCGCGCGUGUAUGCUCGCAAUGUUCUUUGACGGCGUGCGGCAGCCUGGCUUUUCUGGGUUAAUAGGAACUGAACUAUAGUUCAAACAAAAGACAAGUAUACGAAGCGAAGUUUACCCUUUUAAUUACCGAGACAUUGCGGCGUUACUUUCUCGUCAACAAUACCUGACAUACCGUAAAUCUUAGGCGCGCCCCAAAGGAAAUUCCUAACCGAAUAAACCGAAUUCCAAUGCCAAUCAUUAUAUGCGCGGCUCGAAUGGAAACGGUACAAUCUGUACAGUCGAUCGGUAAACAGUUUUUCAUUACGAGCGGGCAGAGCUUAAGGUGAUUCUUUCCUCAUACGCACCCAUGUAGCACACGGGCGCAGUACGACCCCCCGCGCGGUAAGCAGAGGUGGGUACAAUAAAAAGCUAGUGCUCGUGUAAAAGCGAAAUACCUGCAGCUGAGGCUGCGCACGUUGAAGAAAAAUAUUUUCUAACAACGGUAUAUUGCCGGGGCAAUAUUUAAUCAAGUUCUCCUCGGUGCUGUAAUAAAUUCAUGGUUUUUGAAGAAAAAUUUUCCCUUUGUAAACCCUAAAAGAAUUCCGACAACCAUACUUUCACCGUGGUGUUUGUUUGCUUGUCACGCGUGCAAAAAUGUCCUUUCAUCGUCCCUUUUAUUUUUCCCGCAGGGUGGGUUCUCCGUAUAUUUUCAAGUACUUCGGUACUACGGAAUUAUUGCCCCGAGUGGAGUGAAUUUUAUGGGCUAAUAAUUAGGGGUGUCAGAAUUUGUCGUAAAACAGUUGAGUGUAACCCACUCGUGUCUUGAGAAUCUAUUACCCGCUGCAGUUUUGUACGAUUUAUAGUUCGCGAUUAAAACCGGUAAUUGUAUAGGCAAUGAGUUAGCGCAAUUACAUCUUGAAGUCUAGUACACCUACCCCCGACGCUCCUCUAAAUUAUACCUAAUAAACCGUAUAACGCGGACGAUUACUGCUUCUCCACUACCGAUGCAUAGUAGGGUAACGUUGUACGGUAACGCAACGUAAUUUCUUCAGCCCCCUUACUUUUGCACGUGUGUGUAUACAUAUAUCCACCCGUACAAAUUCUCGCGAUUAUUAUUAUACACGCCAAUUGGUUUGUUCAAUUUAUAUCCCGUACGCUCCGUAUAUACUCGCAAUUUACUCGAAACACUGUCAAAUAUCGUCGCGCAUACGUACGCGUAUAAUGUAAUAAUAUAAAACGACAAUUUAUAAAGCUAGCAUAUUUAUAUAUAUACGUGUGUAACACCGUGAGCUAAGCGCGGGAAAAUUGUAAAUUGAAUAUAAACAUUUGCUCCUGUUGUUCCGUGAAGUCAGCAUAAAGGGUUCGAGAACCCCGGGGAGCGUAGAUGGGUAGGUAGGUAGGUGGUGGGUAGGUACGUAGGGAAAGCGGCGAGUCCCUCGGGAAUACGUAACAAUAUACGUGGGUAUACACGCGUACGUAAAAAAAAUGGGGAGGUAACGAGCAAAGCAAAGGUGGGUCGGUUGGUUGGCAUGAUUCGGCGCGGCAGGUACGCUUCGUGUGCAAGGUAAUAAUUAUGGAAAAUUAAACGGUGGUCAUUCGCUGGAUAAAUGCGUCGUUGCUCCGCGGUUCUUUUAAUGCAUUUAUAAGACUAUAUCAAAUAUUUGACCAACCGACUCUCGAACGUUCAGGUAUACGUGCGCUCUACACAACCGCUGACUCGUGUGUUCUUUCGAUAUUAAGAGUACCGUCGUCGUCGUUUCUGCCUACCCCGCGAGUAAAUUAAGUUAUUCUUAUUUUUUUUCUUUUUCUUUUCUUUUUUCUCUCUUCGUCGAACAAGUUUUUCGAAAAUCGAAUCCAACUGGAACGAGGUUACCUGAUUAGAAAAAAACGAUAUCCGGUUCGUAAUUAGCGAAUUUUUGGUCGAUCGACGGCCGUGUCCCAAUCAGGUCCACCGAAUACGGUAUUAUAACGUAAGUCAAUAAAUAAGAUAUCUACAUAUGUACGUGAGAAAAUACGUUCACUCGCAUGUGAAUAUAUAUUAUAAAGAAAGAAAAAAAAAAACCAGCAGCGGCAAUAAGGAAAGAUGAAUAUUUAAACUGGCGCAGGUGCAGAGCGUUUAUAUGUAUAUCUACCUACAUAUAAUACUUACAUACCCUAUACCCGUCGGCGAAAGUUUUAACUUUGGGAAAUGUUUACGCAAGAUUUGCCAAAACUUGAAUUAUUAUUAAAACUUUCUCCCGGGAUUCCUGCCGUCAUGCGGUCUAGAGUAGCUAAAGAAGUAUUGGAGUCUAGACUGUGGGUAUAGAUACGAAAACUCUGAAUUUUCUGUGUUUGGUAUACAAUAUACCUACAAAGAUGGUUUUGUUCUCGACUCGUCGAAACGAAAUGGAAAAGAUAAACCAACAAGAAGAAAACAAAAAAAAAAAAAAAAGGAAGGAAAAAAGAAAGCAUCUUAAUAGACCAGAGUCGCGCAACGGAAAUUCCAAAGUCACUUACAUCACGUCGUAACGAGAUUCUACUUAUCCAACCUGUAAUGGUUGUAACUAAUUAACGGUGAGAAAAUUCCACGUGCAAUAAAUCCGAGUCGAUACUAAAUUCUCUCAUGUAAUAUAUAUAUGAAGAAAAAGUUAUAAUGUUAAGUCCAUGUAAAGCAAGAUCUAUAGGAUUCCGUAAGGAUCACGAAUAAAGUAUCCAGUCGCGCGCAGAUCACGGAUCUUUAGGUACACGUACCACGGGUCGUCGUAAUAUCAAAGGUGUUGGUAAUAUUCUCGACCGAGCUAGAGAGCCGGGCUCCGAAAGAGAUAGACAAAAGGUUAAGCGAGUGGAUAAAGCUGCCGAGACGGAGGUGCACGAGGUUGAUCCUAGGAUCGAGGAGAGAGGUGCGCAGGUAUGUACGUACGUAAUAAGGAUCCUUUUCACCAUAUAAAACGCGCGCGGACACCGCGGAAUUAUAUUACAGAUCGUUUAAUUUUAGCAUGUCUAUAAUCUGCGGGUGUUUUGUCGGAUACAUUUAGUUAGCUCGGUCUAGACGAAUUUUUUUUAGAAAACUUUUUUUUUUCCUCCUUCAACCAACGGUUAAAUAUGAUCUCUCGCUCCUUUUUCGGCGCUGGUUAUUUGGAGCGCGAAAAUUCAGCGGCGAGACUUAUUAUCGGUAUCCGAAAUCGAGAAUCUUCCGGUGUGAACGACGCCUAAAUGCGAGACGGUCGUUCAUUCACAAGAACCCCUGCGGGCCCCUGGACCGUUUCACGACGCAUUCCAUCGCCAAGACCACCGAGCCUUUGGCCUUCCAUUUCCUCGACGCCGCACCGAUGCAGAAUGCAGACCAAACAAAGCUGCCGAGAAGAAAAGGAAGUGGUGGUCAACUUUCAUAUAUGCGGAAAGGCCGGCGCGUGUUGAUCGCAUAGCGGGAAUAUAUUUCGUAAUAUCUGGCAUUUUUACCGAGGGGAAAUUUUCCAAAUACAACGGGGGCUGGCGAUAAGCGGAUCGCUAGCCCAGUGGAAAACGAAAACUUUCGUCCAGUUUUUCUCGUAGCGUCUACAGCUUUUUAAUCCCAAUGAUUCGUCGGGUACUUGAUUAUGAGAGCGAUUUUCAAGUUCUUUCUUAUUUGGCCGCGCACCGACGCAAUUGUGGUUUUGCGGUGUACCGAGUCGAGUCAUGAUUUCAGACAUUAGAAGAAGCAGAUUCUCUGGAGGGUCGGACGAGCCGGAGUCGCUCUUUUCCACGAAGCUGGGCGUAACGAAGUUCAAAAAUUUUCGCCACGAUUUUCAUUUUCUCCACGUAUUUCGCGCGGUAUUUUUUCACGUUACUACUUCGGCCUUGUUCGCAUCGGUUGAAAUUCGAGGUAUUAAGAUCGCCUCAAUUAUCGAGAUGCGCGUUAGAUAAAAAAAAAACUCGAUAUUCGACUGGAAGAAAACCUGUCAAUCUCAUCGCGAUAACGAAGAACUCUGUCUCAGAAGGACGCUCGUAAAUCUUUGAUUUUUUGCUCGAACAUCAGCCGCACGGAUCAUCGCUUAAAUUUACUACAUUCUUAUCGACGUGUUCUACCGCUUUAUUUUAUCUUUACGAUUCGCCAUACUUAUACCUACCUACCCGCCAACCCGCCGCUAUUGAUGCCGGUAGUCGCCGUGCCAUCACCUUACCUUGCUGCGGUUCGGUAUUUUGUUUAUAAAUCAGCGACUCGCUUGCGAAAAAGAAUUCAAAAAAAGAAAAAAGUGAAAGAGAACGCAAAAACCAAAAAAAUGUUCGUCUCGGAAAUAAAACUAAAAAAAAAAAAAAAAAGGAAAACUUGUGCCUCGAGAGUAAAAAAAACCUUAAAAACAGGAGUUAGCUGAUCAGUUUUAUUACCUCGUCUUCCACACACAUCGCCACCGCGUGAUUUGAUCAUGCCGAUUUCAUCACCGCUCGACGAUCGGUUCAACGGGCCAGUUAUCUAAAGAAUUUCAUUGGUCCAUUGACCCUGGAUGUCGGCCUCGUCCUUGUCGUCUUUGACUGAAAAAAAUCGUCUGAACAAGGAUCGCGAUCUUCGAUCAGGUUGGUUAUACGCCGUAAGUCGCACGUUUUGUUUCGCCAUUUCAAUUCGGUAAUAUCCAAUUAUAUGCCAACUUCGGUAUCAUUUCGUAUAAUCAGACAAUGGUCAAAUAAUCGUUAUCCCACCUGAAAAUAACCAGGUUGCCUAUUCUCGUUUCUUCGCAAUCGUCGUAUCUUACGAAUGACCGAAAAUCGCCGAUUGUUCGGAACUGGCAAUAAAUGACGAAUGUCAAUUACCGGUGCAUUGUGGGAGUUCGAAAAAUGAUUCGAAACGUCAAACUGUUGUCGUCAUCGAGCUUCCUCUGCACCCAUCCGCGGCGGUAAGUAAACGAUGUUUGCGUUUAACGAUGGCACAUUGUAUUCUUGGCCUUAUUAACCGGCGACCUGCUGGCAGGGCCUUUUGUUCGGUGUCCCAAGUUUCUUGGCAUUUCUCCUUGUAUAUUACACAUACUUUUUGUUUGGGCCUGAGUUACCGCGUGUCUUCCUACCCCCGUGUAAACCUCAAACUUCUUCUACCCGGAAUCCGGCCCGGUUUCGGAACACGAAAAGAGAGAAAAAAAGAGAAAAAAAAAAGAAAAAAGAAAAACUACUAGAAAGUGUCAUCAACUUUUCCUCGCUACAUCAAUGGCCCAUUCAGCGGUUAACAUUGAAAUUUAAUUGAACCAAAUGUCUUUUUCGGUUUCCAUGGUGUACGAGCAAUAUAAACAGGAAAGUCCACAAAGACGAGAAAAGGAAAAAGAGGAGGAAGAAGAGGAAGACUGAAACGAGUCGAUGUUGACUCUUGUUAUACACAAUCGGUUAUCCAGAGCAGAGAGCAAUGGACUUUAGGACACGAGUUAUUAUGCGGUGUGAAAUAUUCUCAUGACCAAAUACAUCAUGGAAUACACAUACGGAGUGGCGCAGGGAUUGCCGUGCACAAACGUGAAAUUUUUUGUACACGCGUACACCGCGCGUACACGGUCGGUUAACAGGAGAGUGUUUAGUUUUCGAGGGUGACGGACGCGUUGGGAUCUAAAAAUGCCUCGGAUUCUGAGAAGAUGACGGACACGAGUUUUACGGGGCGAGACUUUACCUGGUCGUUACCAUUUGUGAAUGGACGAGGAGGAGCUGAGCCACCGCGUGGGCCUUCGGCCUCACAAACCGGCACUGUACAAGCCAUGCCAGGGCAUCGUGACACAGCGCCGCAACCUUCCACCUUUCACCAUCACCACUACCACCAUCGUCAUGACCACUAACACGUCGGCACUGUGCUGUGUACCGGCCAAGUUUUCAUCCGAGACCGCGCCGAUGCGACCCGUGGCAACCGGUGGGUUUUCGGAGUACGUGUGGGCCCGGUCGAGACCGGAGAGUAGAUCAGACCCUCGUCGGUAUGUUAGUUUCUGGAAUUUUGGCGCCAAGACGGCAAUUCACCGCUUUGUGUGCGGCCAUUCAAGUCCCCGAGAAGUAGACUACUAAACUCGUUUCCUAGAUUUCCCACACGAGCUGCUGCGGCGUAAUUAGUCCGAGACGGUGACAACAGGACGUUGGGCACGUGUAGCACAAGGACUGUUCACGGGUACUUGCGUUCAUGUUCCUACGAGGACUCACGGGAGUGUACGAUGUUCUAGGUACCGUAUAUAUAUAUUAUAUAAUUAUAUGAAAAUUGAUGUAACUUACUGCUGUACACAACAUCUAAAUAAACAUGUCCAUGGUUUUGUAUCGUGGAGCAAUUUCACGGUGUGGAAGUCUGUUGAUUUGUCUGAGGAGUUAUUUUUUUAUUUUUUUAUUUUCCCCUGGCUCUAUACUUGCUUUUCUUUUUCCUCUCCUCUUUUUUUUUUUUAUAUUUUCCUCUGUUCUCUUCCAACAUUUAGAGUGAAAUUCGACGCGGUCGUAGAAAAAAAGCAGCCCAUGGCCAUUGGGGUAUGUAAAAGAUAUGGGUUGAAUUUCUAAAAAAUUGCGUAGUCCAGACCCGGAUUCUCUUGAAA